rnacentral:piRNA from 1 species
UCACAGAAAGAUGAUGACGCCAACUUGGGC